GCUCAGCUAACUCAGUUGGUAGAGCAUGGGACUCUUAAUCCCAGGAUGAUGGGUUCGAGCCCCAUGUUGGGUG